UUAUGUGGGGAAGGCAGCCACAGGCGCACCCAGAAACCCUUUGUGAACUUAUACCUUACUGUUGCCUCGGCGCAUGCUGGCCCCCUCGGGGUCCCUCGGAGACGAGGAGCAGGCACGCCGGCGGCCAAGUUAACUCUUGUUUUUACACUGAAACUCUGAGAAAAAACACAAAUGAAUCAAAACUUUCAACAACGGAUCUCUUGGUUCUGGCAUCGAUGAAGAACGCAGCGAAAUGCGAUAAGUAAUGUGAAUUGCAGAAUUCAGUGAAUCAUCGAAUCUUUGAACGCACAUUGCGCCCUCUGGUAUUCCGGAGGGCAUGCCUGUUCGAGCGUCAUUUCAACCCUCAAGCAUUGCUUGGUGUUGGGGCACUGCCUGUAAAAGGGCAGGCCCUGAAAUCUAGUGGCGAGCUCGCCAGGACCCCGAGCGCAGUAGUUAAACCCUCGCUCUGGAAGGCCCUGGCGGUGCCCUGCCGUUAAACCCCCAACUUUUGAAAAUUUGACCUCGGAUCAGGUAGGAAUACCCGCUGAACUUAAGCAUAUCAAUAAGCCGGAGGAAGA
rnacentral:rRNA from 1 species